AACGAACGCUGGCGGCAUGCCUAACACAUGCAAGUCGAACGAGACCUUCGGGCCUAGUGGCGCACGGGUGCGUAACGCGUGGGAACCUGCCCUUAGGUUCGGAAUAACUCCCCGAAAGGGGUGCUAAUACCGGAUAAUGUCUUCGGACCAAAGAUUUAUCGCCUUUGGAUGGGCCCGCGUUGGAUUAGCUAGUUGGUAGUGUAAAAGCCUACCAAGGCGACGAUCCAUAGCUGGUCUGAGAGGAUGAUCAGCCACACUGGGACUGAGACACGGCCCAGACUCCUACGGGAGGCAGCAGUGGGGAAUAUUGGACAAUGGGCGAAAGCCUGAUCCAGCAAUGCCGCGUGAGUGAUGAAGGCCUUAGGGUUGUAAAGCUCUUUUACCCGGGAUGAUAAUGACAGUACCGGGAGAAUAAGCUCCGGCUAACUCCGUG
rnacentral:rRNA from 1 species